UGUGCACUCUGCUUUAUGAAGUCACGCUACUUGGACCGAAACUUCCAUUGCCAAGCCCGUCGUGACAAAAGCGGUGACAUCAAAACCACCAAAGCCU
rnacentral:lncRNA from 1 species